UAUCACCCGCAGGUGACUAAGUAUUUGCGACUCUACUAUAUGAUGACCCUGCGUCACAACUUGGUAACCGCGUGGAAAUAACCCACAACUUGUUCGGUACUAGUCAAUCAUAACGCAGAAAUAUACCACAACCAACAACACAAAAACCAGGAUCAAUGAAAGUGCGAUGAUCAGCAUUCUUUCUAGUGAUUCAACGUCAAUAUCGGGAACACCAAGAAAUAACAAUGAUUAGAGACUAUGCAAUUUUAUAUGGAUUCACUACCCAAUCAAACAUCUUUAACAAUUUUUAUACAGGAUUAGAUAUGUAACUUUAGGGUUGAAAUUUUUGGCAUACACAAGUACCUAAUUUGCUUCUUGGUUUAUGAAAUAACGCUAAAAAAUCAACAACCUAAACUACAUACAUACUUGAAUCACGAAUGGAGUGAUUUGAGCGACUCGAAAUAAUAUAUUCCUUCUUUUCUGUUAAAAUUUUGUAAAAGAAUAAUAAUGUUUCAUUUUCAUGAAAAUAUUUAUCUGGCGAAUGAGAUUAACUAGAGAAAAAUUCGGGUGAAACACUAUAAAGCCGGUCCCUUUCCACUUAUCUAAAUAUUUAUAAGAUGGGCAAUAAAUGGCAAAUGUUAAACAGCUCGACGCCGGCAUAAUUAGAGACCAUAAAAUGAUAUGUAUGUAUAACGAAUGUGGAACUGUUCUCUUUAUGUUACUUUUCAUUAUUCAAUCUUUACUCUUGUCGGUAGAGUUUCAUUCAAUCAAUUGGUUUCUUGGUAUAUUUGCAUCGCAAUACUCCACAUAAAACCCGUAAACAAUGAUUGACUUGUUUUGCGCAAUAACAGGUUCGAUCUCCACGGUCUGGAUCAAGUAAGAUAAGAUAAGAUAAGACUUGGAUGACAACGUGAUUUACUUCGCAAUACUAAAAUCUUUGAGUACAUGCAUAGUUGUUCAUUUUUAUAAACAUUGUACCAUAUGUGAUUUUGUUUUACAUUAUGCAAGCUGCCAUAAAUAAAUCCAGACCAACUUACUAAACAGUGAAGCCUAAGGCUAGUAAUUUCGCCCGAAAUGUUUCUUCGAAUUGUAUUAAACUACUCCUUUACUGCAAUUACUUAAAUUUCAGAACAUAUAACACAAUACAACACACUAGAACAAUAGAACACACAUUUCAGAAGUGUACGAAAUGGGAGUAUUUCUUCAAAUCAAUUGCAAAAUGUACUUUUGUAAGGUUAAAACCUUCUUUUGGAGCGGAUUCCCACCUGCACAAAAUUCCGACUGCAUACAUAAAUACCUUCUAAUUAACAGCACUUAAUAUUCUAUACAUACAUUUAUAUUGCAACUGCACGUGUUUUAAUUUCUAUAGUUUUUUUUUAUUUUAGGAAAUUCAUCCGUGAGAAAUUCAAAUUAACUGAAAAAACUGACUUUCCAGGUUACAUUUUUACGAUAAAAAACUCAGACUUCUCUUAAAUUCUUGCACCACACUUUGCACCAUAAAUUGCAGACUCGUCAAUUGUUAACUGAAUUGUAAGGCAUGCAAGUUUAACUGAUUGUGCAAAAAUUUAUGACGCAAAGCAGCUUUUCAUCUAAAAAGUUAUACAACCCGUCAAUUGCCAACUGGACUGUCCUGGCCGAAUUGGGCAGUGACAUCAAUUACAAUUACGAGAUUAUGUACGAUAUGUAAAUAUUACUCAUCCGGUGAUGAUAAGAGAAUACAAUGUCACCAGGGACUCUGUCGCCCAAAACAUGCUCAUGUUAUCAAUGUCCUCGCCAAGGAGAAGAUAACCCGUUCAAUUUCACCGGUUUCGUUGUAUAAUACGAUAAUUCUCCAGUUAUAAAAUUACAGUCUUCCAAUCUUAAACUAAAUAUGCUCUAAAUAGCUGGGCGACAAGUUGAAGCACGCGGAAGUACUAUUUUUUGUGAUUAGCGAGACGUUUUGUGACCAACCGAUAAGCAAUCUAAAACUCGUGUAAGAAACACGAGUUAUUUUACAAAAUUAGACAAUUUUACUAUGCUGGGUAAUUUAUGUAUAAUUAGACACAAUUCUGGUCUGGAUAAGAAUCACGUAAAAAGGAUCGAAUUUUAAUGUAUAGAUCAUAGCUAUAAAAUAUAUUUUUUUAUAUACCACUAUUUAACGACGUCACGUGUCAUUGGUAUUUAUUUUUGCUAAAUUAUUUUUAUUCGAAACAUAACGUCACCUUAAUAAUGACUUAAAAAAUUUACCUUCAGCGGUUAAAAUUUGUCUUCAAGUUAUUUACCCAGUAUUUUUACUGAAUAAUUAAACCCCUUCAACCAAAAGUAAGAAGAUGGUGAAAUUGACAUUAACUUUUUGGGUGGUCACCCUGAUCACCUGUCUCGCUCAGGGUGAAAGCCGAGCCAUCGAAAGCGUGGAUUUCGACCUUGAAGACGGGUUCAACUACACGUGUCCCCCGUACUGCGACUACUGCACGGACGACGAUACUUCCUGCCGCUAUUAUCCCGAUGCUAGAAACGAAGAGGGCGGGAUGCCGUGGGGUUUGAUACUCGUAUCUGCCUUAGUCUCCGCUUUUUUCUUCUGCAUUCUUCCCCUCUGGGUAUGCUUUUGUUAUCGAAAAGGAGCCGAACCACAGACUCAAAUUAUCUAUAUUCAGGGACGUGCCCCACCCGGAUAUCAACAAUUACCCAGCCUACCUGGAAGUAAUGGGGGUAACCAAUAAGUCAUCCUGGGUCACCUGAUAAACUUGUACAACUUGGAUUGUUCGAAAUAAUGAAUUUGUACUGAAGGGCAACACAAUUAUAUUAAAAAGAUAACACUCUGUGAAGAAAGUAAACUUUUAUUUCAGGGACUUAUUACCUGAAUUUUUGUUAAAUUCGUUUAUAAAACAUAUAUGCCGUUGUCAUUUGAAAUAUUCGGUACUUUCACGAAAAAAAAUCUAUGUAGUUCUCCCAAAA